AACCUGCCCUACUUGCAGGCGGCGUACAAGGAGACACUGCGCCUACGCCCUGCGGCACCGAUCGCACACCGGCAGUCGACGGAGGAGAUGGAGGUUGCCGCGGGCGGUGGGUUUACGGUCUCGGCCAGCACGCUGGUGUUCAUCAACCUGUGGUCCAUUGGGCGUGACCCGGCCUACUGGGACACCCCUCUAGAAUUCCGGCCGGAGCGGUUCAUGGCCGCCGGAUGCAACGAGGUGUUGGAUCCGCGCGGCCAGCACUUCCAGUACCUUUUUUUUAGAACGAAUCUCCGAGGGUGCCCUGGCAUGGGGCUUGCGCUUUAGUCCGUGCCAGCAGUUGUGGCCGCGCUCGUGCAGUGCUUCGACUGGGCCAUGAUCCCUCCCUGGGACGGUCAUGCAAAACCGGCGGUGGUGAUAGACAUGGAGGAAGCCGACAGGCUGGUGUGCGCACGCAAGCACCCUCUCAUGCUGCGCCCUUCGCUUCGCCUCAGCCCCUUCCCGGCAGUCUUCUAA
rnacentral:rRNA from 1 species